CGGAAUGUGGCCUAGUGGUAAGGCACCUGGUUUGGGACCAGGGGAUCGCGAGUUCAAAUCUCGCCGUUCCGA
rnacentral:tRNA from 1 species